ACUCCUACGGGAGGCAGCAGUAGGGAAUCUUCCACAAUGGGCGCAAGCCUGAUGGAGCAACACCGCGUGAGUGAAGAAGGGUUUCGGCUCGUAAAGCUCUGUUGUUAAAGAAGAACACGUAUGAGAGUAACUGUUCAUACGUUGACGGUAUUUAACCAGAAAGUCACGGCUAACUACGUGCCAGCAGCCGCGGUAAUACGUAGGUGGCAAGCGUUAUCCGGAUUUAUUGGGGCAUAAAGAGAGUGCAGGCGGUUUUUCUAAGUCUGAUGUGAAAGCCUUCGGCUUAACCGGAGAAGUGCAUCGGAAACUGGAUAACUUGAGUGCAGAAGAGGGUAGUGGAACUCCAUGUGUAGCGGUGGAAUGCGUAGAUAUAUGGAAGAACACCAGUGGCGAAGGCGGCUACCUGGUCUGCAACUGACGCUGAGACUCGAAAGCAUGGGUAGCGAACAGGAUUAGAUACCCUGGUAGGAUAGCG
rnacentral:rRNA from 1 species